rnacentral:rRNA from 1 species
CCUACGGGAGGCUGCAGUGAGGAAUAUUGGUCAAUGGGAGAGAUCCUGAACCAGCCAAGCCGCGUGAGGGAAGACGGCCCUAUGGGUUGUAAACCUCUUUUGUCGGGGAACAAAACCCGGGACGUGUCCCGGACUGCGUGUAUCCGAAGAAAAAGCAUCGGCUAACUCCGUGCCAGCAGCCGCGGUAAUACGGAGGAUGCGAGCGUUAUCCGGAUUUAUUGGGGUUAACGGGUGCGUAGGCGGAACGUUAAGUCAGCGGGAAAAUUGCGGGGCUCAACCCCGUCGAGCCGUUGAAACUGGCAGACUUGAGUGGGCGAGAGGUAAGCGGAAUGCGUGGUGUAGCGGUGAAAUGCAUAGAUAUCGCGCAGAACUCCGAUGGCGAAGGCAGCGUACCGGCGCCCAACUGACGCUGAGGCACGAAAGCGUGGGGAUCGAACAGGAUUAGAUACCCCUGUAGUC